rnacentral:rRNA from 1 species
UGCGUAGGCUGUCUAGAAAGUUGGAAGUGAAAGCCCAGGGCUCAACCCUGGAAUUGCUUUCAAAACUACUAGACUCGGAUUUGGGAGAGGAUAGCGGAAUUGUCAGUGUAGCAGUGAAAUGCGUAGAUAUUGACAGGAACACCAGUGGCGCAAGCGGCUAUCUGGACCAACAUCGACGCUGAGGCACGGAAAGCGUAGGGGAUCAAACA